rnacentral:rRNA from 1 species
AUGAACGCUAGCGACAGGCCUAACACAUGCAAGUCAGGGGCAGCACAAGGAGCAAUCUGAGGUGGCGACCGGCGCACGGGUGAGUAACACGUAUGCAACCUGCCUGUAAGCGGGGAAUAACCCGUUGAAAGACGGACUAAUACCGCAUAAUACUAAAUUACUGCAUGGUAAUUUAUUUAAACAUUUAUGGCUUACAGAUGGGCAUGCGCAUGAUUAGCUAGUUGGAGAGGUAACGGCUCCCCAAGGCAACGAUCAUUAGGGGUUCUGAGAGGAAGGUCCCCCACACUGGUACUGAGACACGGACCAGACUCCUACGGGAGGCAGCAGUGAGGAAUAUUAGUCAAUGGACGAGAGUCUGAACCAGCCAAGUCGCGUGCAGGAAGAAUGUUCCCUAUGGAUUGUAAACUGCUUUUGCAGGGGAAUAAAGUGCAUCACGUGUGAUGUUUUGUAUGUACUCUGCGAAUAAGGAUCGGCUAACUCCGUGCCAGCCGCGGC